UAGUCCUAGCAGUAAACGGUGUGCACUUGCUGUAGGCGGAUUCGACCCCGUCUGUGGCGCAGCUAACGCGUUAAGUGCACCGCCUGGGGAGUACGGUCGCAAGAUUAAAACUCAAAGAAAUUGACGGGGGCCUGCACAAGCGGCGGAGUAUGUGGCUUAAUUCGAUGCAACGCGAAGAACCUUACCUGGCCUUGACAUGCACCUCUAAGGCUGUGAAAGCAGUCGAGCUCUUCGGAGCAAUUUGCACAGGUGCUGCAUGGUUGUCGUCAGCUCGUGUCGUGAGAUGUUGGGUUAAGUCCCGCAACGAGCGCAACCCUCAUGUUUUGUUGCCACUCCCUUCGGGGAAGCACUCUAAACAGACUGCCCGGUAUCAACCGGGGAGGAAGGGUGGGGGAUGGACGUCAAGUCAGUAUGGGCCCUUACGGCCAGGGGCU
rnacentral:rRNA from 1 species